AAAGUCAUAUACACAUCACGCCUU
rnacentral:siRNA from 1 species